UACAGAGGGUGCAAGCGUUAAUCGGAAUUACUGGGCGUAAAGCGUGCGUAGACGGUUAUUUAAGUCAGGUGUGAAAGCCCCGGGCUCAACCUGGGAAUUGCAUUUGAGACUGAAUAGCUAGGGUGCGGAAGAGGGAAGCGGAAUUUCCGGUGUAGCGGUGAAAUGCGUAGAUAUCAGGAGGAGCACCGGUGGCGAAGGCGGCUACCUGGACAGAAACUGACGCUGAGGCGCGAAAGCUAGGGGAGCAAACAGG
rnacentral:rRNA from 1 species